rnacentral:rRNA from 1 species
GCAACCCGACUCCACGAAGUUGGAUUCGCUAGUAAUCGCGCAUCAGCCAUGGCGCGGUGAAUACGUUCCCGGGCCUUGUACACACCGCCCGUCAAGCCAUGGGAGCCGGGGGCGCCUGAAGUCCGGGACCGCGAGGACCGGCCUAGGGCGAAACUGGUAACUGGGGCUAAGUCGUAACAAGGUAGC